rnacentral:rRNA from 1 species
CCUGAUCCAGCAAUGCCGCGUGAGUGAUGAAGGCCUUCGGAUCGUAAAGCCCUUUCGGCGGGGACGAUGAUGACGGUACCCGCAGAAGAAGCCCCGGCUAACUUCGUGCCAGCAGCCGCGGUAAUACGAAGGGGGCUAGCGUUACUCGGAAUUACUGGGCGUAAAGGGCGCGUAGGCGGCGCACCAAGUUAGGCGUGAAAGUCCUGGGCUCAACCUGGGAACUGCGCUUGAUACUGGUGUGCUUGAGGAUGGAAGAGGGUUGUGGAAUUCCCAGUGUAGAGGUGAAAUUCGUAGAUAUUGGGAAGAACACCGGUGGCGAAGGCGGCAACCUGGUCCAUUACUGACGCUGAGGCGCGACAGCGUGGGGAGCAAACAGGAUUAGAUACCCUGGUAGUCCACGCCGUAAACGAUG